rnacentral:lncRNA from 1 species
CUCUUUAUAGAUUCAUACUUGAUUAUUUAAAUAUUUCAAAUCAAAGACCGUGAGUGGUUAGCACACACUCACUCCCUAAAUAAUAUGUAUACAUAUAUAUGUUUAGAAGCGAAUUUAGGAUAUAAAGUUCUUGAAUUAUAUAAGCUUAUAAGUUCUGAAAUUUAUUAUAUGUCCACAUUCAGUGGAUUUUUCAACUAAUACAUAGGGUUCAAACCAAAGUCGCCAAUACGUUCCAUGCUAGCUCCGUCCCGACUAUCGUCCGCGUCCAAAAUCAUAGCUGUUGGUGGGCGCUCUUUGAUACAAGAAGUCAUACAAUUGAUACUUUGAACUGCGCAAUUCUGAGAGCAUUUAUCUGACGUUGAGGUGCAUUUAACAACACAAGCAACUACUUGUUUGCCACAAGCAACCACACAUGGCCCUAUAGCUGUUUCACCUUGAGCAUUAAUUUUUGUAGAUGCAAAAAUAAGCAAAAGGAAAGCUAAAACAUGAAUUGGUGAAGUUGUUGCAAGAAAAGCCAUAGUGGAUUUAGCGGAACCAAAAUUUGUUGCCUUACCACUUAGGUUCUUCUACGAUGAUAUAAUAUCUUUUCAAGAAAAUGAUACGAGAAC